ACAAUGGGCAAAGUCACAGUGGAUUAACUUUCACCUAUGUUAAUAAUCAAAUUCUAGUUCUGACAAAGGCCCCACGCCAACAGUGAUUACAAUGACCAAAAAUAUUUACUUGUUGGUUCUCAUUCAGUUCUAUAGAUUUCUCCUUAAUGUGCAGGAAAGCAUCUGAUAAUACUUUUGUAAAGUGGUCUUUAUUGAUUUAAUAUAAAACUUAUAGAAUACUCCAGAGAAAACAUGUGAUAUAAAUGUCACUGUUAGAGCCAUCAAAAUAAUUCUUAUUUUCAUUAAUAAUUUGUGGAGGAAAUUAUUGAGAAAUGUUGAUUCUCUUAUCAGAGCUCAGGAGGAGUUAAUAGUGCUAACUAGGGGUGGUGGAAAUAGUCCCGUGAGAAGCAGAGGAGCCAAAUCUACCUCCUCGCACUGAUUUGGUCACCUCCUUUAUAUUCCCAAGUAUAACACUCUACACAGACAAUGAGAGAGCUCAAUGCAUGUACAGAAUCCCCGGUUAUUUAUGCAGUCCAUUGGAUGAAGCCCAUCUUCAUUUCAGAGUUCUAUUCACAAAGUAAUUUGAGGUCUCUGGUGUUCUCAGGCACAGAUUUCUUGAAGAGCAAAGCAGAAGUCCUUAGGAAAAUUCAGGCUCCACUUACGGUGCCAUCCCUUGACUCAACCUUUAGAACAAUGGGUUUUUCUGGUUGAAGAAGUCCUCCUAAGCGUAAUUUCAGGGGGAUCUGCAACAGUUAAACAAGCAUAUUGAGAAGCAUUAAAUAAACAAAAGUAGAAAGUAUAGCAUCAAAGUGAGUGAGACACUCCUUCAGUGUUGAGGGGACACAACAGAGUGAUAUUCUGAUCUCCAUGGAGUAAUGGGCAAAAAAAUGCAGUAAUGACAAUAAUGCUUUGUAAACAUAUAAAAACUACUUUCAGCACUAUAAAUCUUGGAUUCUUUAUACUUAGUCUAUAAGAUGUGUGAAGAUUGGACAGUGAGAGCAUUCAUCAUCUAUCAUUUAACAAAAUAUUUAUGGAGUACUAUUCUGUGCCAGGCCUGAGACAAAUUCAUGGGAACCUGUGUUCUUUUUUGAUUUAAAUUUUAAGUAAAAUGGAUGAGUUUUUAAAAUUUAAACCAGAUUAUUAGGUAUGAUGGCAAACUAUUUUUGAAGAGUCAUAUAAAGUUAAUUUUGUGUAUGUUGAAACUUGCAAGGUAACCCUGAGUAGUUAUUGUACAUUUUAAUUAUAUGGACAGUCUUCAACUUCCAGAGUCCAGUAAUUCCUCCCAAUUGAACCCAUCCAGUGUAAAGAUGGGAAGGCACCUUCAGGAAGCAUUAUCUUUUUAUUUUUUAACAUCUUCUCUUGGCUUCCAAGGGUAGUGCAAGUGGGGAACCUCUCAAUUCCUACAGUGUUUGGACUCAACUUUUAUCCCCAUUCUUAUUGAGACACUCCUUCCAUGUUGAGGGGACACAACAGAGUGAUAUUCUGAUCUCCAUGGAGUAAUGGGCAAGAAAAUUGCCAGGGAGAUCAAGAAGUGCCAGGUUGGGAGCUUACCAAGGAGUUCCUUCCCCAUCCCAGGUGUGCCAGAGGACCACUUUUAUUCAGGGCUGAGUCCCCUGUCUGAGCACAUAUAAGACAGCUACACUGCUGGCCUAAAGCCACAAAUAAUAUGGAAUAUGGAAAUAAUAUGGAAACUAUUUCUGUCUUCUUCCUCUCCUAUAUAGAAAGCCUACUUAAUGUGUGAAAAAAACAGAGUUGAUUA
rnacentral:lncRNA from 1 species